UACGAAGGGGGCUAGCGUUGCUCGGAAUCACUGGGCGUAAAGGGUGCGUAGGCGGGUCUUUAAGUCAGGGGUGAAAUCCUGGAGCUCAACUCCAGAACUGCCUUUGAUACUGAAGAUCUUGAGUUCGGGAGAGGUGAGUGGAACUGCGAGUGUAGAGGUGAAAUUCGUAGAUAUUCGCAAGAACACCAGUGGCGAAGGCGGCUCACUGGCCCGAUACUGACGCUGAGGCACGAAAGCGUGGGGAGCAACAGGGA
rnacentral:rRNA from 1 species